rnacentral:tRNA from 1 species
AGGCUUUUGAUUACCGAGGGUUCGAAUCCCUCUCUUUCCG